GACGAACGCUGGCGGCGUGCUUAACACAUGCAAGUCGAACGAGAGGAGAAGGAAGCUUGCUUCUUUCGAAUCUAGUGGCAAACGGGUGAGUAACACGUAAACAACCUGCCUUCAGGAUGGGGACAACAGACGGAAACGACUGCUAAUACCGAAUACGUUCCUUAGGUCGCAUGACUUAGGGAAGAAAGGGUGGCCUCUACUUGUAAGCUAUCGCCUGAAGAGGGGUUUGCGUCUGAUUAGGUAGUUGGUGAGGUAACGGCCCACCAAGCCGACGAUCAGUAGCCGGUCUGAGAGGAUGAACGGCCACACUGGAACUGAGACACGGUCCAGACUCCUACGGGAGGCAGCAGUGGGGAAUCUUCCGCAAUGGGCGAAAGCCUGACGGAGCAACGCCGCGUGAGUGAUGACGGCCUUCGGGUUGUAAAGCUCUGUGAUCGGGGACGAACGGUCAGCAGACGAAUACUCUGCUGAAGUGACGGUACCCGAAUAGCAAGCCACGGCUAACUACGUGCCAGCCGCCGCCGUAA
rnacentral:rRNA from 1 species